rnacentral:lncRNA from 1 species
GAGAGCUCCAAGAGUACGGAGGGAUCAGGAAGUCUCCCUAUUGAGGGGUGAAGGGACUCAGAGGGGUUUCUUACCUUCUCUGGCCCAGGAUGCCUCCUCCUCCGAAAACUAGGGACCACCACUCCUGCUCUGCUUACACCCAGGGGCUGCUGGGGAGGAUCCAGGGAUGCAGGAGAAUAUGGGUAUAAUGAAUAGAGCUUAAGCACUCUCUUGGGCCCUGGAAGAUGCAAGCUGUAUGAUAUGAAUGGUGAGUUCAGACAGGAACCUCUGAAGGCAGCGAGCCUGGAGAAGGGACACAGAGGGAUGGGUCACCUGGAGGCAGAGGCUAAAAUGACAGCGCUCACCAGCAUCUCUUUCCCUGAGAACACUGGCUCAGCCUCCCCUGUUGAGUCUGGCUGCCAAGACCUGGGCCCAGAGACCACGGACACCACUUCAAGGUCAGGAUACCAGAGGUCCCCAGGCUCCCUGGUCCCCAUUCCUUGCCCACACUACUGCCUGUGGUGUCACUGGGAAGGUAAGUGAUGGUGACCUUAUAUGCGACCUUCACCUUUACCUUCAUGCCCCUCUGUCACAACUCCUUACCCGUGGGUCUUCUACUCUUUCUCUUCUCCCACUCAAGGGUCUGGGGCUCUCAGGGAAUUCAGACAGUGUGGCGUCAAAGGCCAGCUGCUUGGUGCCAUCCUCCGGCCUCCAGGAGAAGGAAUUGGCUCCCUUGCAGCCUCAGGCAGUUCAGCUUAGAGGGCCUUCUUUUACAUGCUAACCACCCUGAAAGUUCCCUCCAACCUGUCCUUCUUCCCUCCCUGUCGCCCACAGUGACAGAGGUCAGGGGACAUAAACAACCCACGGUUUCCAAUUAAUUUUUAAUUGCAACUUGAAAUUCUUAAUUGCAGCUGAAACGCUAUCUCUGGUGGCUGUGUGGGGGUAGGGUACAGGUGACCCAGUUAGAGAUGUGGGGCUGGUGGGGCCUGGUGCUGAGGCAGCACAUGGGAGGCCAAAGGGCAGCCUGCUGAUUACACAGGGUGCAGGGCACAGUGGUUAUGCUUUGGGUCUAGGCCUGGGCCUGUCCCCUCAGGGGCCAGGGGCCUGGUCAUCAGUCUGUCCCCUGGGGAGGACUCCUGGGAAGCCAUUUGUCAGCAUCUUGUUAUGGCAGGAGAGGGUCCUGGCAGAACAAUGCCAAGAUCCACUUGGCCAAUUAGAGCUCUGUACUGGAGCAGGACCUUGAAGUGGCCCCAAGGGAGCUUUCUGGGGUGGGAGGUCCUUGGGGACCUUCACGGGAGACCAGAGAUGGUCCUAGCGAGGCUCAGGCCCUGCAGAGGUGGCACAGGCUGUGCCCAGCUGCAAGAGUGGACACAGGGAACAACUGGAGGUGUUUAUCCAUUCAUCCCAGCCUCCUUACCCAUCAUCCCGUCAUUUGCCAAGUCAGCCAUCAAGAUUGAAGUCACGCCGAUGUCCUGCCUGUCCCUGGCCAUUCGAGUUCCAGUUCUGAGGGACCUGCCACUCACAGGACAACCUCUACCACAACCACCACCCUGGGGACAGACAUUCGAUCCAGGUCGGGCCAGUCACCAUCCAUCCUGGGAUUUGAACAUCUAAGACCCAGGAAAGAGAACUGCUCUAUGCAGGUCUUGUAAACCGGAUGUGAUAAUUCUCAGUCUCUGGAAGCUACUGCUCAGUAAGAAAAAUGCCAGAACAUUCACAACUUGUCUACUGGAUAAAAUCUCCAGCCCUAGGGUGUGCUGCUCCAGGCUUUCCCUAGCCUGGUACCAUCCUGCCUUCCUGUCUCAGAUGUUCUGAACAUUCCUCUCAGACAGGAGACGAAGGGGCAGAAGAAGUUAGCCUGAGACCAGGGGAACUGAGUGCUGGGGGUUCUUAGAUUCCAGUCUGGUCUCUGCCAAUAGUACUUUGUGACUUUCAGACAGUCUCUGCCAUUCUCUGGAACUGGUUUUCUUCUCUCUAAAUUGGAUACAUUCACC